rnacentral:rRNA from 1 species
AUUGAACGCUGGCGGCAGGCUUAACACAUGCAAGUCGAGCGGAGUGAUGGUGCUUGCACUAUCACUUAGCGGCGGACGGGUGAGUAAUGCUUAGGAGUCUGCCUAUUAGUGGGGGACAGCAUCUCGAAAGGGAUGCUAAUACCGCAUACGUCCUACGGGAGAAAGCAGGGGAUCACUUGUGACCUUGCGCUAAUAGAUGAGCCUAAGUCGGAUUAGCUAGUUGGUGGGGUAAAGGCCUACCAAGGCGACGAUCUGUAGCGGGUCUGAGAGGAUGAUCCGCCACACUGGGACUGAGACACGGCCCAGACUCCUACGGGAGGCAGCAGUGGGGAAUAUUGGACAAUGGGGGGAACCCUGAUCCAGCCAUGCCGCGUGUGUGAAGAAGGCCUUAUGGUUGUAAAGCACUUUAAGCGAGGAGGAGGCUCUUUUGGUUAAUACCCAAGAUGAGUGGACGUUACUCGCAGAAUAAGCACCGGCUAUCUCUGUGCCAGCCGCCGCAGUAA